rnacentral:rRNA from 1 species
UACGUAGGGUGCAAGCGUUAAUCGGAAUUACUGGGCGUAAAGCGUGCGCAGGCGGUUACGUAAGACAGAUGUGAAAUGCCCGGGCUUAACCUGGGAACUGCAUUUGUGACUGCAUGGCUAGAGUUUGGCAGAGGGGGGUAGAAUUCCACGUGUAGCAGUGAAAUGCGUAGAUAUGUGGAGGAACACCGAUGGCGAAGGCAGCCCCCUGGGUCAAGACUGACGCUCAUGCACGAAAGCGUGGGGAGCAAACAGG